AAAAAAACAAAAAACAAACAAAAAAAAACCUGACAUUUUUUUCAACUACAAGGUAUUCAGAGAUACAAUUGUGUUUACUGGGUACUGAUCUGAUUGGAAAAAUAAUUCCCAAAUAGUCUCAUUCAAUGGCUUUAAAUGUGUUCACUCUGUUAUCCCAUGCUGUUCAUCUUUAUUUAUUUAUUUUUAACAUGUAUGUCCCUUUGUGAGGUUCAUGUAUUCCUAUUAUUUUCUAGGUUUGAAAUUCUUAUUUCCAGGGUAGAAUUACAAAGAAGGGAGCAAUUGAAAACAUCUGCUCUGCUUUCAAACACUGACAGGCACCUCCAUCACACUCCUUUCUGCUGCUGGACAAUUAGGGUGAGGAGAGGAGGGAAAGAAGAGCUGCUCCUACCAUGAGUUUCUGAAGUGGAUGAAGGCUGUAGAUGCAGAGGAAAUUAUCCACAUCACUGCAGAUAGUCUCGAUAGCAGCGCCAAUGAAGUUACUGAGAGUUGUAUUAUUAAAAACACCUAUCAUUUGCUGAGCACUUACAUUUAGAAGGUGCAAUGAAAAGCAAUUCAAACAGACUCGAUCCUCAUGAAGUCUUUCUGAGUUUGGUAUUAUUUUUCCUUCUUUUUUUCAGAUGAAGAAACAGGCUGCAAGGCCAGAGCUAUAAUGUUAAAAAGGUGAAGACUCAGGAUCCAAACUCAGGUGCAGGGGAAGAGACCGGAGUUACACCGAGUUACUGGCGGAAGUAUCCGUCCAGGUCUGCAGCAACGUCAAUUCUUGCCUCCUAAGAAGGAAGAAUUCGACUGAGGGGCACAAAGCAGAAAGGGCGACUGAGUCAAGUUCCAGAGCAGGAAUGAAAGUUUAUUUUAAAAUGCCUUAGAACAGGAACGAAAUGAAGGUGUGCAUGGAAAAGACCCACGCAGGCACAUGAAGGUUAAAGAGAGAAGAGAUGGAUCUCAAAAAAGAAAUCAAAACUGGCUCAGAUUUCCCAAGGAUUUCCAUAUCUAUAUACUAGAAGAUAAUUCAGACUUAUGCAUCUGAGAAGGCUAACCAGCUCACUGCAUUAACUCACUUGGAAAGGGGAAGAAUUGGCUACCAAAUAAGCCCACUGCUGGAUAGAAUACCGCAGACUGGGCGAUUUAUGAAGAACAGAAAUGUAUUUUCUCACAGUUCUGGAGGCUGGCAAGUCUAAGAUCAAGGCAUCCAUAUCUGAUGAAGGCCUUGUUGCUGUGUCCUCACAUGGUAGAAGGCAGAAGGGGAAGAGGGAGAUCAAUCCUGUGUCUUCACAUGGCCGAAGAGAGCGAGAGAGUAAAGCCAUUCCUGCAAGCGUUUUUACAGUGGCAUUAAUCCCUUCAUGAGGUGGUAUGGUUUGGCUGUGUCCCCACCCAAAUCUCAUCUUGAAUUGUAGCUUGCAGAAUCCCAUGUGUCAUGGAAGGGACCUGGUGGGAGGUAACUGAAUUAUGGGGGUGGGUUUUUCCCAUGCUGUUCUCAUGAUAGUGAAUAAGUCUCAUGAGAUUUGAUGAUUUUAUAAAAGGCACUUCCCCGCACAAGCUCUCUUGCCUGCUGCCAUGUAAGAUGUGACUUUGCUCCACUCUGGCCUUUCACCAUGAUUGUGAGGCCUCCCCAG
rnacentral:lncRNA from 1 species